rnacentral:rRNA from 1 species
UGAUGACGAGACGCUAAGGCGUUGAAGCAGUGUAUGUCAGACUUCCAAGAAAAGCUCGCAAUGUCACAAAUAAAAAGUGCCUGUACCAUAACCGACACAGGUGGGUAGGUAGAGUAUACUAAGGGGCGCGAGAUAACUCUCUCUAAGGAACUCGGCAAAAUGACUCCGUAACUUCGGGAGAAGGAGUGCCUUAUUUAUAAGGUUGCAAUAACAAGAUCCAAGCAACUGUUUAUCAAAAACACAGGUCUCCGCUAAGUCGUAAGACGAUGUAAGGGGGCUGACGCCUGCCCAGUGCCAGAAGGUUAAAGAAGUUGGUUAGUGUAUGCGAAGCUGAUGACUGAAGCCCUGGUGAACGGCGGCCGUAACAAUAACGGUCCUAAGGUAGCGAAAUUCCUUGUCGGGUAAGUUCCGACCCGCACGAAAGGCGUAAUGAUUUGGAUACUGUCUCGGAGAGAGGCUCGGUGAAAUAGACUUGUCUGUGAAGAUGCGGACUACCUGCACCAGGACAGAAAGACCCUAUGAAGCUUUACUGUAACUUGAAAUUGGAAUUGGACUUUGCUUGCGCAGUAUAGGUGGGAAGCGUUGAAAAUAUUCUUGCGGGAGUAUUGGAGCUAUCAGUGAGAUACCACUCUUGUAAUGUUAGAUUCUAACUUUGAACCAUAAUCUGGUCAAAGAACAGUUUCAGGUGGGCAGUUUGACUGGGGCGGUCGCCUCCCAAAUGGUAACGGAGGCGUACAAAGGUUUCCUCUGAACGGAUAGAAAUCGUAUCUAGAGUGUAAAGGCAUAAGGAAGCUUGACUGUGAGACCUACAAGUCGAGCAGGGACGAAAGUCGGUCUUAGUGAUCUGACGGUACUGAGUGGAAAGGCCGUCACUCAACGGAUAAAAGUUACUCUAAGGAUAACAGGCUGAUCUCCCCCAAGAGUUCACAUCGACGGGGAGGUUUGGCACCUCGAUGUCGGCUCAUCGCAUCCUGGGGCGGUAGUACGUCCCAAGGGUUGGGCUGUUCGCCCAUGAAAGCGGUACGCGAGCUGGGUUCAGAACGUCGUGAGACAGUUCGGUCCAUAUCCGGUGUAGGCGCUAGAAUAUUGAGAGGAGCCUUCUUUAGUACGAGAGGACCGAGAAGGACACACCGCUGGUGUACCAGUUAUCGAGCCAACGGUAAGCGCUGGGUAGCUAUGUGUGGAGUGGAUAACCGCUGAAAGCAUCUAAGUGGGAAGCCCACCUCGAGAUGAGUAUUCU